rnacentral:lncRNA from 1 species
UCCCAAUUAAAAAGAGCACAAUGUGUUCUACCCUUUUUGAACCUAAGCCUUAAACAGUAUGAGAAAACCCUUUUGCAAAUCUUUACCUUGAGUUAAGGUGAGAAUUAUUAUGUGGUAUUGAUAAAGGUUCAAGUUUGGGGCUGUUGGGAAAGUUGAAAAAGAAAAAGAUAAGCAUUGAGCUAAUGUGUUGAGCAAAACAUAAAAAAAAUGAUGAAAAAGAUAGAAAAGAUAAAAAAAAAGAGAUAAAAUGAGAAGAAAAGCUCAAUGCAAAGAAAAGGGAAAGUUGAGAAUGAGUGAGAUUGGUUGUUUAAAGAGAGUUUGUGCUUAAAUUAUAAAUGUGAAUAACUCUCUUAACUCAAGGAAUUAUUGAUCUAGAAAAACCAAUGUUCUUCUUAGCUCAACCAUGUUACAAGCCAUAAAAGUCCUUGUGAUGAUAACUUGCUUGUGAGUAUGCUUGAUUGUGGUUAAAUGAAAGGCAAAGUUAAUUUGUGUGACAUUGU